AUGAGCUCCAUCUCUUUUCUGCUGUUUCUGGCAGCUGCGUCCUGUGUGAAUUCGGUUGAAUUUACUCAGUCUGAUAAUAUAGUUGUACGACCUGGAGAGGCGUUUACCAUCUCCUGUCAAUUCUCUGGGUUUUCAAUCUCCAGCUACUGUCCUUACUGGAUUCGACAAACACCAUCCAAGACUCUGGAAUGGACUGGAUAUGUGUGUAGCAGCAACUCUUCUGUAAAAGACUCCCUCAAGAGCAAAAUCAGUAUCUCUGCAGACGUCUCCAGCAGCAGUGUUUUUAAAGGGGCAACAUUUUGA